UACAGAGGUCUCGAGCGUUGUUCGGAUUCAUUGGGCGUAAAGGGCGCGUAGGCGGCGGGGUAAGUCUGGUGUGAAAUCUCGGAGCUCAACUCCGAAAUUGCACUGGAUACUGCUCUGCUAGAGGGCUGGAGAGGAGAUCGGAAUUCACGGUGUAGCAGUGAAAUGCGUAGAUAUCGUGAGGAAGACCAGUGGCGAAGGCGGAUCUCUGGACAGCUCCUGACGCUGAGGCGCGAAGGCCAGGGAGCAACGGG
rnacentral:rRNA from 1 species